CCUCACAAUGCAGUCGAACGCGACUUUUCCUUAGAGAGAUGAGUAGAGUGGCGUCCGGGUGAGUAAGAAGUAGGUAAUCUACCUUUGGGUGGGGAAUAACGCAGGGAAACUUGCCCUAAUACCGCAUAAUGCAGCGGCACCACAUGGUGACAGUUGUUAAAGCGGGGGAUUUUCGAACCUCGCGCCUGAAGAGGAGCCUGCGGCAGAUUAGCUAGUUGGUAAGGUAACGGCUUACCAAGGCGACGAUCUGUAACCGGCCUGAGAGGGCGGUCGGUCACACUGACACUGACAUACGGGUCAGACUCCUACGGGAGGCAGCAGUGGG
rnacentral:rRNA from 1 species